GGCCACCCCUGCAGUAAAAGAUAUUGUCAUAACCUCAGGGCUUCCCCUGGGAAGGCAGAUCAGCAUUGUAUGUGACUAGCCCUGUUGCAAAUAUCGCAUAGCAUUUUGGGGAAGGUCAAAUGUGUGUGAGUGGAUAGUGGAAGUUUUCUUUGCAGAAUACGAGAAGCCAGGGGGGAGAGGAAGAAGAGCAGAGAACGGGUUAACUCUACACUUCAGCUAGCUCCAUGUGAAGAUAAGACGCUGGCCCCAGCCCAAGCUCAUGGGCUCGACAAGAAAUCAGCAGCUGCCCAGCCGUGAGAAGAGAAGAACUAAGUUGAGCAGAGCUGCAGAGAUAGCAGCAAAAACAGUGAGAGCAAAUAAGACAGCGACAGCAAAGGCCAAGAGAAGAAAAAACAAAGUCUCCAGAGCCGGAAUGUUUUGGGAAACCGAGGAGGCCACAGCAAGCCGGUUUGGACUGGCCCAAAGAGCACAAGAAGCAGAGGUCCCUGAGUGGAAUACCACCCACCCCCCACAAGGAGUCCAGGACUUAAAACCCUCCUGAGAGCUGGAGCAAUUUGGAGAUCAACAGCGGAUCCUUGGAUGACCUGGGCCCAGGACAGCACUCCCAUCCACCUUCCCCCCCCACACACCCUUUCUUCUGAUGUUACACCCAGUCUUGGCCAGUCUGGGUCAUGCGUGUGAGAAGGCUCCUCAGAAAAUGUGCUCCUUAGUCUCUGACCUUCCUGCAGCAAGUAGAUGUGAGGUUCUCCGUAUUCUAAUGUAUUUUCUUCCUCCCACAUGCUUAGGAAAGAAUAAGUUUUUGGCAAAUGGAAGAACUACAAAAUAAAGCCAGCUGCUGUGAAGGGUGGUCUGGAAUACUCGGGAGAAUACUUAAAAAGAGAACAACAAAAGGCCCUGUCCACAAUGGAAGCAGAACCCCCAGUUUGGGGAAUAUACCUCUGGUCUGGACCCAGCGUACAGUGCGCUCUGGAGGGCUGGUUGGUGGUUUUUAAUAACCAUCCUGUAAGAUUAAGUCUGAUAGCAACACACCCCUAACUAACAAGACAAGUACAGUUGUUCUGCAAGCCAUAUUCCAGCUAUGGAUGGAUGAGCCUAAACCAAAGCCCUAAGUGGUGAUUUGAAUGAGAGUUCACAGCACCAACCCAUCUCUAUAAUGGGCCAAAUCAAGCACCCUGGAAUAUGGGAAACUUCAGAUUUGGAUCCAGAUUUCUAUCCCCCAUUUUUAAGUGUUUAGAUAUAGAGUUUUGGAGUAGGCCCAUCAUAGAGAUAUGGUAUAAAUGGAGUCACUCCAAUGAAGGCACAGCAGCUACACUGAUGUAAGACCAAUUUAAGAAUAGAAAUAGGCCCAGAAAGUUCACAUCUGGGUUUCUUGAUCCAUAGCUCAGACCUGAGCUUUAUGGGUGGGUGCCAUCUCUACUUACAACAGCAGUGUCUAGCUGUAACCGUAUUAGAACAGUUUCAAGCAAGGUUACCAGCGCUUUGGUGUGGACAUUACAUUUAAUAAUAGCUAUUGUCUGCUUUUUAGAAAUUGUUUUCCUCUUAGAAGAUAAAUGAAUCGAUAACUGCAUAAAACUCACUCCCAUUUCUCGUUUGUAUUGGUGGUUGGCUGUUUUUAGAGAAUGAAGACUCUCUCCCAUGCAAAAAAUGUAAUUGUAUAAGGAAGAUUUGUUUCAACACAGAUAUGCAGGAGCCAUUCCAAAGAGACUUUUUUUUUAUAGAUCACAAUGCAACUAUAGUAAUCAUGCAGGGAAGUUAAUGGCACCCAGCUGAAUUCUGCAAAGACAUUACAAAGAAGAGUCCAAUAACCUGAGUGACAAAUUAAUCUUACAGUAGAAUUAUUUAAGUCUUCUAAUCUGUUGAGAGAGGAUUUACUGGCGCAAUACUACACAAAGCUGUGGUACUUAAAUGCACUUAUAAUUUGUUAGUAUAUCUGCUUUAGAAAAUGUUCAUCACCAAAAUUUGUAUGACUGUUUGGGUUUUUUCCCCAUAUGAAGUUUUAUGGGUAGAAAUAAUUAUUCUCACUCUCACUAGUUAACCCCCAUUGCCCCACACACUCACUCUCACUCACUCUGCAACAAAGCCCUUCUCUAAAGGUAAGCAUCCAACAUAAAUUCCCACUCUUGGGUCACAGUUUCCAGCAAAUGUUGUAGGAGCACUUUACAACAACUUGACUUAUGAACCCCAGGGGAGAAGAGCAUAACUGGGGGUCAAUCAAUUCUGACGCCUGGAGCUGGCAACAAAAAUUUCCCCUGAAUGCAAAACUCCAGGUCCAGCAUAAAAUAUACUUGUGCAAAGAUUCAUGAAUAAAAACA